CACUUCUUUGAGAACCGUGUUAUGUGUUUCAAGAAUUAAUUGUUCUAUAUAAAUCAAGAAAAAAAACAGUUGCAAUAUUGUAUUUAGCAGAAAUACGUUAAUUAAUGCCUCCAGGUAGGCCUAUACAAGACUAUAGUCUUGGACAAUUUGAAAACCAUUUCAGUCAAAGAAGAAAAAACAGAUGAGAUGUGUGCUAAGCCAGACACCAUGAAGUGACUGUAAUGGCAGAGAUGAAGGCUGAGAGAGGGAGUUUUGUGAGCGACCUGCGCAUGCUGCUGGGAGCUUAAAAUGGCGCAGACGUGACUCUGGCGCCCAGGGGCUCGGAGCAGUCAGCACAGUCACAUCUUGGCAGGGAGGAGCCCCGUCUUCGACGCCAUGUUGUGUUUCUUGCAUCUCACUUCACAACAUAGCUGCGAACACGGGGCUUCUUGCUGGCAUCUCGCAGAUUGAGAUGCAAGAAGCAUGCAGCAGAGGGCCCUCGAGAGCAUGUAAAUGCACUGCUGCGUGACAUGGCGUGGACUACACUAACAUCUGUAGUAGUGCUAGACAGAACUGACACCACGAAUGUUGCAGAGUUCCCCAUAAAUCCAUAAGAGUCUAAGAGGUGGAGAUCUCUUCUGAACAGCACAUUGCAAGGGCAUCCCAGAUACGCUCAAUAAUGUUCAUCUCUGAGA